rnacentral:misc_RNA from 1 species
GAAAUGCGAUAAGUAAUGUGAAUUGCAGAAUUCAGUGAAUCAUCGAAUCUUUGAACGCACAUUGCGCCCGCCAGUAUUCUGGCGGGCAUGCCUAUCCGAGCGUCAUUUCAACCAUCAAGCCCCCGGGCUUGUGUUGGGGACCUGCGGCUGCCCGCAGGCCCUGAAAACCAGUGGCGGGCUCGCUGUCACACCGAGCGUAGUAGCAAUCACCUCGCCCAGGGCGUGCUGCGGGUUCCGGCCGUUAAACAGCCUUACAAAACCCAAGGUUGACCUCGGAUCAGGUAGGAAGACCCGCUGAACUUAAGC